AGAACAAAAGGGUAAAGGAAAGGGAAUACUCUGUGCUCUGGAACUGGAACAGACCCUUUAUGCUGCCCUCAGAUGCUAUACUCCAGAGUCUCUGCCCUUGGAAUUCUGGGACUUCCAUCCUUUUGCUCUCCAGCUUCUCAGGAAUUCUGGGGCCUUUGUAUUUAGAGUGAGGCAUGUUUCCAGCUUCCCCGGUUGUCUGGGUUGUAGAUGGACUAUUGCAGGGCAGCCUCCAUAAUUGCAUGAACCAAUUCCUGUGAUAAAUGCCCUGUCUGCCUAUCUGCCUGCCUGUCUAUAUAGCUUAUCAAGGUGUCAAUCAUAUCGGCUGUUUCUCUGGAGAGACCGGACAAUUAAAAACAGUAAUAAUGGAAGAGUGUUUCAAGUAAUACGAUGUAUAAAUUGAAAUGAAAGACCAAGCAAAGGAAAAUGUGUGAUUAGAAGAAGCAGAAUAGCAACUGGAGAGAUCCUUCAGCAGCUACAAGCACUUGCUGCUCUUCUAGAGGACCCAGGAUAUUGAUACACGAGCCUGUGAAAAGAUCAUUUGACCCCGAGGGAUCCGCCCCGCAGAUUGAGAACCACCAUUUUAGGAGGCCUUUACUGGACUCAAGUCUCCCAGCUACGUGAGUUGUCUGGGCAGAUUCAUCAGAGCAUGUCCAUCUUCCAAAUGUGAUCUUUUUCUGAUGGAGGCCCAAAAGCCCACAGAGAGGGUUCCUGCAUCAUAUCCACAAGCUUCCAGUCACUUGGACAGAAUACCUGAGAUAAUUUACAACUGUGGGGGUCAGUCCUCCCCUUCCACGAAGUUGGUCCCCAGGAUCCAAUUCUGACCAUCAGUCUGACAGCAAGCACCCUUACCACUGAGCCAUCCCACCAGCUCAGUCUACAGUGUUUUCAAGUGCCCUUAGAACCACUACCAAAUCAAACUCUACUAUCCUGGAUUAUAAAGUAAGCCUCGAUUUAUAUUUAAAAUACGUAAUAAAAUAUAUGACCACGCUGCUCAAUAA